AUUGAACGCUGGCGGCAUGCCUUACACAUGCAAGUCGAACGGUAACAGGUCUUCGGAUGCUGACGAGUGGCGAACGGGUGAGUAAUACAUCGGAACGUGCCUAGUAGUGGGGGAUAACUACUCGAAAGAGUGGCUAAUACCGCAUGAGAUCUACGGAUGAAAGCAGGGGAUCGAAAGACCUUGUGCUACUAGAGCGGCCGAUGGCAGAUUAGGUAGUUGGUGGGAUAAAAGCCUACCAAGCCGACGAUCUGUAGCUGGUCUGAGAGGACGAUCAGCCACACUGGGACUGAGAAACGGCCCAGACUCCUACGGGAGGCAGCAGUGGGGAAUUUUGGACAAUGGGCGCAAGCCUGAUCCAGCAAUGCCGCGUGCAGGAUGAAGGCCUUCGGGUUGUAAACUGCUUUUGUACGGAACGAAAAGCCCCGGGUUAAUACCCUGGGGUCAUGACGGUACCGUAAGAAUAAGCACCGGCUAACUACGUGCCAGCCGCCGCCGUAA
rnacentral:rRNA from 1 species